rnacentral:rRNA from 1 species
UACGUAGGGUGCGAGCGUUAAUCGGAAUUACUGGGCGUAAAGCGUGCGCAGGCGGUUUUGUAAGCCAGAUGUGAAAUCCCCGGGCUUAACCUGGGAAUGGCAUUUGGGACUGCAAGGCUAGAGUCCUGGAGAGGAAGGUGGAAUGCUUGGUGUAGAGGUGAAAUUCGUAGAUAUCAAGCGGAACACCGGUGGCGAAGGCGGCCUUCUGGACAGUGACUGACGCUGAGACGCGAAAGCGUGGGGAGCAAACAGG